CUCUAAUAAUCACUAGUAGAAAAAAGUAAAAAAGCACCGCUCAAUGGCCACCGGUUUUCAAAAACCGGUGGGGAAAAAGGGCGGGAUUGGGGUGAUAUAAUAUUUCCACCGGUUCAAACCAAACCGGUGGGGAAAAUAUUAUUACAACCGGUUCAAAACCGGUGGUUUUGUUAUUAAAAAAAAAAUCCGCCCCCCCUUAUAAACUCCAAACCCUAUCUCUUCAUUCAUUCUCAGCCACUCCUCUUUCUUUCUCCUGCUCUCCCCUCUCCUCCCUCGAUAUGUUCGUCUUCUCUAGCAGUUUAGCUGAUUUCCUCUAUCUUUCUCUCUCAUCUCUCCCCUCUCCUCCUUCUCUUUCUCAUCUCUUUCUCAUCUCCUUCUCUCGAUCUGUUCAUCUUCUCUAUUUUCCUUAUCUUUGAUCUCAUUCUCGUCUCCUUCUCUUUCAUUUCCACCACCACCAAAACAAUAAACCACGAAGACAUGCACGAGGUAUAUUGAUUUAGAUGUAGAUGUUAAAUCGAAGAAUAAAGAUGCAUGAUUAUUGAUUUAGGUGUUAUAUGGGUUGUUUUUUAAUUUUAAUGUUGUAAUUUUUUUGGGUUUUUUAUUGUAAUUUUUUUUUAUUUUAAUGUUGGAAUUUUAGUUUUGUGUAAUUUGAUUAAUUUAGAUCUUUUAAAUUGGAAUUGUUGUAUGAGUAAUUUAGUUGUAGUUAUUAAUUUAGUUUUUUUCACUCUUAAAAAGUGUACAAUUACUAGAUACUGAUGAAUAUAUAUGUGUUUUUAUGUA